rnacentral:misc_RNA from 1 species
GGAAGGAUCAUUACCGAGUGCAAUCUCGUUAAUCUAGGUGGGGUCUAUUGGCGAUUGUCAUACGGUGGGCGCUUUGCGCAAUUCCGGGCCAAUAGACCUGACAGAAUUGGUUAGAAAAAUGCCUCAGUCGGAGGGUCCUCGGACCCUUUUGCAAAGUCGCGACUCUUUGUUUCUGUACCUUCGGGUCGGAUUCAUACUUUGACUUUGCUGUGACCUAAAGGCGCGACACUUUUCAGACCCUUUUCUAAGCGACCCUGAGUUAGGACGUUCUUUGAACGUCAGUUGGGUACCUACCCGCUAUGCCUUCUCAGCUCAAUACUCAAGCUGGGUUAAUUCAUAAGGCAUACGGUUAACCGUUUUUGACAGUGAACGACUCUAACUGUCUAGACGGGCAAGGUUUAAAGAGUAUUAUGAAAGGACGGUUCGCCGUUAUAAGUGCGCAGUGCGACGCGUACCAUAAUACCGCCCAGCAAACCCCUUUUAACUCUGUAAUACUUAACGAAGACUUGGUUUACCAAGACUUCAAAACAGAAUUCUGAGCGGUGGAUCACUCGGCUCGUGGGUCGAUGAAGAACGCAGCUAGCUGCGUGAUUUAAUGUGAAUUGCAGACACAUUGAACAUCGACAUUUCGAACGCACAUUGCGGCCUUGGGUUUCUCUCGAGGCCACGUCUGUCUGGGGGUCGUUUGUACGACAGCAUAUGGUGAAUUGCUUUAACCGGUCACGGUUAGAGAUUGGAUUCGCCACAUUGGACUACUGAAGUCGCGACAUUAGUUUCCGUACCUUCGGGUCGGAGACCUUUGACUUUACUAGUCUGGAGAAAGAAACGCCAGUGGCUUGUGCACUGGCUAUGAAUAAACCUUCGGUGCGAUCCGUUCACUGGAGUUAAUCUAGUUGCGUGACUUUUAUAGUUUGCGAUAAUUUAGAUUGACAAAAGUGACCAAUAUCGAAGGCUUUAUUUCAUCAUUCGACCUCAGAUCAGACGUGAGUACCCGCUGAAUUUAAGCAUAUUAGUAGGCGGAGGAAAAGAAACUAACAAGGAUUCCCAGAGUAACGGCGAGUGAAAUGGGAAAAGCCCAGCGCUGAAUCCCUUCGGUCCGAGACCGUCGGACCUGUAGCGUUUUAGUCUCCUUUUCCGGAGUCGACACACUUUCAAAGUCCCCUUGAACGGGGCCACUGCCCAUAGCGGGUGCAAGGCCCAUUUGAAAGGAGUCGGUUUCGGUAUAAGGUAGGCUAUAGAGUCGGGUUGCUUGAGAGUGCAGCCCAAAGGGGUGUAAACUCCAUCCAAGGCUAAAUAUAACCACGAGACCGAUAGCAAACAAGUACCGUGAGGGAAAGUUGCAAAGAACUUUGAAGAGAGAGUUAAAAGGACGUGAAACGCUUGGAAGGAAACGGGUGGAGCUGCUAUGCAGUCCCCAAAAUUCAGUCUUCCAACGUCCGACCUUUUGGAACCGAUCGUAAGACGGGACCUUUAGGCUCGGUUCGUUUGGAUGAUGCAUUUUUUGGGGAUGAGCGUCACGACCGAUUGACCUUCCGACAGAAAGGUGGUAGGAAUGCCGACAUACGCUUUGGCGUUUGUGACCCUUCAGCUACUCUGUUCGGGUAAGGACGAUCGAGUAUAGACCGUGUCGGCUGUCGCAUAGAUUUUGUUUAAACUAUCGGACUUUACUUGCAAGUCGAGCUUGCUCGGCGGGCAGACCCCCGGUGGGAAGUGACUUAAUCUUUGCGUUAGACGCAAAUGGUCUGUGACGUCUGAGUCAGUCACCCACCCGACCCGUCUUGAAACACGGACCAAGAAGUCUAACAUGUGCGCAAGUCAUUGGGUUUUAAACCCAAAGGCGAAAUGAAAGUGAAACAUGGUGGGAUUCCUAGUCUUCGGAUUGGGACGCACCACUGUCCCGUCUGAUCUGCAUGUCAGAUAGGCGGAGAAAGAGCGUACACGUUGGGACCCGAAAGAUGGUGAACUAUGCCUGAGCAGGAUGAAGCCAGAGGAAACUCUGGUGGAAGUCCGUAGCGGUUCUGACGUGCAAAUCGAUCGUCAGACUUGGGUAUAGGGGCGAAAGACUAAUCGAACCAUCUAGUAGCUGGUUCCCUC